rnacentral:rRNA from 1 species
CGGCCCAGACUCCUACGGGAGGCAGCAGUAGGGAAUCUUCCGCAAUGGACGAAAGUCUGACGGAGCAAUGCCGCGUGAGUGAUGAAGGUUUUCGGAUCGUAAAGCUCUGUUGCCAGGGAAGAACGCUUGGGAGAGUAACUGCUCUCAAGGUGACGGUACCUGAGAAGAAAGCCCCGGCUACUCGUGCCAGCAGCCGCGGUAA